AUUGAACGCUGGCGGCAUGCCUUACACAUGCAAGUCGAACGGUAGAGGGGGCAACCCCUCGAGAGUGGCGAACGGGUGAGUAAUAUAUCGGAACGUGCCCAGUCGUGGGGGAUAACGUAGCGAAAGUUACGCUAAUACCGCAUACGAUCUAAGGAUGAAAGCGGGGGAUCGCAAGACCUCGCGCGAUUGGAGCGGCCGAUAUCAGAUUAGGUAGUUGGUGGGGUAAAGGCUCACCAAGCCAACGAUCUGUAGCUGGUCUGAGAGGACGACCAGCCACACUGGAACUGAGACACGGUCCAGACUCCUACGGGAGGCAGCAGUGGGGAAUUUUGGACAAUGGACGCAAGUCUGAUCCAGCCAUUCCGCGUGCAGGAUGAAGGCCCUCGGGUUGUAAACUGCUUUUGUACGGAACGAAAAGGUCUCUCUUAAUACGGGGGACUCAUGACGGUACCGUAAGAAUAAGCACCGGCUAACUACGUGCCAGCCGCCGCGGUAA
rnacentral:rRNA from 1 species